GGGGGGCUGCAGUUUGCUUCUAAAGGCUGAAACUAGUGACGCUCUAAGCACAGGCAGGGGUUAAUGGGGCACUGCUGGCAGAGCUGAGUGCAGCAGCUAGAGGAGCUCAGAGGCCAGGUGGAGCAGGCAGGUGUGGUUCCCUUCUGCUUGGCCCUGACCUGCAUCUCCUCCCUACAGGCUAAAGGACCUGCUUCUGUUCU
rnacentral:lncRNA from 1 species